AGAACAGUCUCAGGAGUUGCAGGACCACUAGUUAUUCUGGAGAAGGUUAAGGGACCUAAAUUUCAAGAAAUCGUGAAUAGUUGUUUAGGAGACGGAUCAACUCGUAGAGGUCAAGUUUUGGAAGUUGAUGGUGAGAAGGCUGUAGUUCAGGUGUUUGAAGGAAAAUCUGGAAUUGACAACAAAUAUACUACUGUGCAGUUUACUGG